GACCCGCGUGUCCCGGGCAGGCUGGGCCCGCUGGUCAUUCAGACAGAGGCUUUUCGCUGGACGAGACAUAUCGAGUGUCACUGCGGCGCGGCCGGCUCUCUGAUCGCGAAACCAAAACCGAGGAGGAGCGGCGAGAUCGUCUUCGGGGCGGCGGAGAUGACGGUCGGCCAUCUCGCCAACGACGCCACGACGGCACGUGGGAGACAAUAUUGAAAUAUUCUUCUGAAGCCGCAGUUGACACCUAUGAAGAAAUAGCUAUUAUCAUACCAAGAGGACGACGUACUGUUGAGCUUCAUCUUUCAUUUCUGCGACUCCAUGGACAAGCUGAUGAUAUUAAAAUCCAAUAUAGCAGCAUCAUUCGCCUUUUUGUUUUACCAAAGGUUAUGUGUGUACUGUAAUUAUUGUGAUAUUGUAUUGGUUGAUCCUAGAUAUGUAAAUAAUUCGAUUGCAUGGUUGUGCUUUCCAGCCAAACAGUCCCCAUACCUUUGCGGUUGUCACUCUUGAUCCGCCAAUCCGUAAAGGCAGAACAUUGUACCCUCACAUUGUCAUUCAGUUUAUGACAGAGGUAAUAGUCGAAACAGAUUUGAAUUUAAGCAGAGAUCUUCUGGCCGGAAAAUACAAAGAUAAGUUGGAGGAAUCUUAUAUGGGUCCAAUACAUGAGGUAUUCACCAAAGUCCUUUGUGGCCUAUCUGGUGCCAAAGUCACAAGGCCGGGUUCUUACAGAACUUGCCAAGGUGAAUAUGCAGUUAAAACAUCUCUGAAAUCUGAACAUGGACUGCUGUAUCCACUUGAAAAAGGUUUCUUCUUUCUGCCAGAGCCCCCUAUGCUCAUCCUUUAUGAAGAGGUUGAGUUUGUUGGGUUUGGAAGUUACCGCCGUGAGGGCGCCGGUAAAUCAGAUUGCUAGUUGGACCUCCUUGUCAAGCGAAAAAAUGGCCAAGAGCAUAUCUUCAGAAAUAUUCAAAGGAAUGAAUACUUUAACCUUUUCAACUUCAUCAAUGGAAAGCAGUUGAAAACAAUGAACCUUGGGGACGAGCAAAGUGAUGAGGAUGAAGAUUUUGGUUCCUUUAUGGGUGGCGGAGGAUCUUCUACUGAUGAUGAUUCUAGCGGGGACGAAUCAGAAUCUAGUGAAAGUGGGGGUGAAAAGGAGGGAGCCAGUAGUGGCGACGGAGGUUCGAAGAAAAGGAAGUGGAAGAAGAAACACGCGACGUACCGUUGGCACAGGAUGAGCUGGCGAGGGUUCCGCGUCCGAUGACGAGUCACACUAGGCUCUUGUCCUCUGGGCACGAUGGAGGUAUAUGUCUGUUGGUCACUGACGCAGAGUUUGGCCUUUGAAAUCAUGCAUCCCAGCUUGCACUGGAGCUGAUCAUUGAUUUUCCGAUAUGUUUUUUUGUAACCAAGAGCAGAUGAGAGGGGGGGAUUCAGUAUCAUGCUCGAAACUAAACAGUAGGCGGAACAAUUACAACAAAGCACCUUUCAGAUUUUAUUUACUUUCACAAUGAAACAUAAGAUUGUUAGUUGUCAUAUAAGUAUGGUAUAUCUGAGUGAGAUUGGAUUAUGGCAUAUGCCAUUCCCAUUUCAGCUAUGGAACAGAACAUCAUUAUUAUUGUACAACAGCACUACAGGAAAGGAGUUUCGUGAAA